AUUGAACGCUAGCGGCAUGCUUUACACAUGCAAGUCGAACGAGUGGCGGACGGGUGAGUAAUAUAUCGGAACGUUCCCAGUAGAGGGGGAUAACUACUGGAAACAGAGCUAAUACCGCCUACUAUUGGAUCAGCCCAUAUGGGAUUAUCUAGUUGGGGGGGUAACGGCUCACCAAGGCGACGAUCCGUAGCUGGUUUGAGAGGAUGACCAGCAAAACUGGGACUGAGACACGGCACAGACUCCUACGGGAGGCAGCAGUGGGGAAUAUUGGACAAUGGGCGAAACCCUGAUGCAGCCAUGCCGCGUGUAUGAAGAAGGCCUUAGGGUUGUAAAGUACUUUUGGCAGAGAGGCGGUAUCUGCAGAAGAAGCACCGGCUAACUACGUGCCAGCAGCCGCGGUAAUAG
rnacentral:rRNA from 1 species